AUACGUAAGGGGCUAGCGUUGUUCGGAAUUAUUGGGCGUAAAGGGCGCGUAGGCGGUUUUACAAGUCUGGUGUGAAAGAUCUCAGCUUAACUGAGGGACCGCGCUGGAAACUGUAAGACUAGAAUCUAGGAGGGGAAGCUGGAAUUCCUGGUGUAGGGGUGAAAUCUGUAGAUAUCAGGAAGAACACCGGUGGCGAAGGCGAGCUUCUGGCCAUAGAUUGACGCUGAGGCGCGAAAGCGUGGGGAGCGAACAGGAUUAGAAACCCUAGUAGUCC
rnacentral:rRNA from 1 species